UGGAGUAUGUGGUUUAAUUCGAUGCAACGCGAAGAACCUUACCUGGUCUUGACAUCCCGGAGACCCUUAGGAAACUAGGGGUGCUUCCAUCUGGAAGAAUCUGGAGACAGGUGCUGCAUGGCUGUCGUCAGCUCGUGUCGUGAGAUGUUGGGUUAAGUCCCGCAACGAGCGCAACCCUUGCCUUUAGUUGCCAGCAGUUCGGCUGGGCACUCUAAAGGGACUGCCGGUGUUAAACCGGAGGAAGGUGGGGAUGACGUCAAGUCCUCAUGGCCUUUAUGACCAGGGCUACACACGUACUACAAUGGCCGAUACAAAGGGCAGCGACACUGCGAGGUGAAGCCAAUCCCGUAAAAUCGGUCUCAGUCCGGAUUGGAGUCUGCAACUCGACUCCAUGAAGUUGGAAUCGCUAGUAAUCGUGGAUCAGCAUGCCACGGUGAAUACGUUCCCGGGCCUU
rnacentral:rRNA from 1 species